rnacentral:misc_RNA from 1 species
GAUGAAGAACGCAGCGAAAUGCGAUAAGUAAUGUGAAUUGCAGAAUUCAGUGAAUCAUCGAAUGUUUGAACGCACAUUGCGCCCCCUGGUAUUCCGGGGGGCAUGCCUGUUCGAGCGUCAUUUCACCACUCAAGCCUCGCUUGGUAUUGGGCAACGCGGUCCGCCGCGUGCCUCAAAUCGACCGGCUGGGUCUUCUGUCCCCUAAGCGUUGUGGAAACUAUUCGCUAAAGGGUGUUCGGGAGGCUACGCCGUAAAACAACCCCAUUUCUAAGGUUGACCUCGGAUCAGGUAGGGAUACCCGCUGAACUUAAGCAUAUCAAUAAGCGGAGGA